GCACAACGCGAAGAACCUUACCACCUUUUGACAUGCCUGGACCGCCACAGAGAUGUGGCUUUCCCUUCGGGGACUGGGACACAGGUGCUGCAUGGCUGUCGUCAGCUCGUGUCGUGAGAUGUUGGGUUAAGUCCCGCAACGAGCGCAACCCUCGCCAUUAGUUGCCAUCAUUCAGUUGGGAACUCUAAUGGGACUGCCGGUGCUAAGCCGGAGGAAGGUGGGGAUGACGUCGAGUCCUCAUGGCCCUUACAGGGUGGGCUACACACGUGCUACAAUGGCGACUACAGAGGGUUAAUCCUUAAAAGUCGUCUCAGUUCGGAUUGUCCUCUGCAACUCGAGGGCAUGAAGUUGGAAUCGCUAGUAAUCGCGGAUCAGCAUGCCGCGGUGAAUACG
rnacentral:rRNA from 1 species